rnacentral:rRNA from 1 species
UUGGAGGGCAAGUCUGGUGCCAGCAGCCGCGGUAAUUCCAGCUCCAAUAGCGUAUAUUAAAGUUGUUGCAGUUAAAAAGCUCGUAGUUGAAUUUCGGGACCAAUUUGUUGGUCGUGCCUCGGUACGUACUGGUAUUAUUGGUUUCUCCCUUCUGAAGAACCUCGAUGCCAUUAAUUUGGCGUCGUGGGGAAUCAGGACUGUUACUUUGAAAAAUUAGAGUGUUUAAAGCAGGCAUACGCUUGAAUACAUUAGCAUGGAAUAAGUAGAAAGUAGGUACG